GACGAACGCUGGCGGCGUGCUUAACACAUGCAAGUCGAACGCAAAGGCCCUGCUUUGGUGGGGUGCUCGAGUGGCGAACGGGUGAGUAACACGUGAGUAACCUGCCCUUGACUGUGGGAUAACUUCAGGAAACUAGGGCUAAUACCGGAUAGGAGCUCCUGCUGCAUGGUGGGGGUUGGAAAGUUUCGGCGGUUGGGGUUGGACUUGCGGCUUCUCAGCUUGGUGGUGUGGUAGUGGCUUACCAAGGCUUUGGCGGUUAGCCGGACUGGGAGGGUGACAGGCCACAGUGGGACUGAGGUACGGGCCAGAGGGCUACGGGGGGAAGGAGUGGGGAACAGAGCAAGAUGGGCCGAAGGCGUAUGGAGCGAUGUCGGGUGCGGGAUGACGGCCUUAGGGGUGGAAAGCGCGUGAGCGUGGGAAGAAGAGUGAGUGACGGUAACGGGUAAAGAAGCAACGGCUAACUACGUG
rnacentral:rRNA from 1 species